rnacentral:rRNA from 1 species
UGAGGAAUAUUGGUCAAUGGACGCAAGUCUGAACCAGCCAAGUAGCGUGCAGGAUGACGGCCCUAUGGGUUGUAAACUGCUUUUAUGUGGGGAUAAAGUGCGUGACGUGUCAUGCAUUGCAGGUACCACAUGAAUAAGGACCGGCUAAUUUCGUGCCAGCAGCCGCGGUAAUACGGAAGGUUCGGGCGUUAUCCGGAUUUAUUGGGUUUAAAGGGAGCGUAGGCCGUUUGGUAAGCGAGUUGUGAAAUGUAGGAGCUCAACUUCUAGAGUGGAGCGCGAACUGUCUACAUUGAGUGCGCGCAACGUAGGCAGAAUUCAUGGUGUAGCGGUGAAAUGCUUAGAUAGCAUGAAGAACUCCGAUUGCGGAGGCAGCUUACGGGAGCGCAACUGACGCUGAAGCACGAAGGUGCGGGUAUCGAACAGG